rnacentral:rRNA from 1 species
AUCAUGAGUUCACAUGUCCGCAUGAUUAAAGGUAUUUUCCGGUAGACGAUGGGGAUGCGUUCCAUUAGAUAGUAGGCGGGGUAACGGCCCACCUAGUCAACGAUGGAUAGGGGUUCUGAGAGGAAGGUCCCCCACAUUGGAACUGAGACACGGUCCAAACUCCUACGGGAGGCAGCAGUGAGGAAUAUUGGUCAAUGGGCGAUGGCCUGAACCAGCCAAGUAGCGUGAAGGAUGACUGCCCUAUGGGUUGUAAACUUCUUUUAUAAAGGAAUAAAGUCGGGUAUGCAUACCCGUUUGCAUGUACUUUAUGAAUAAGGAUCGGCUAACUCCGUGCCAGCAGCCGCGGUAAUACGGAGGAUCCGAGCGUUAUCCGGAUUUAUUGGGUUUAAAGGGAGCGUAGAUGGAUGUUUAAGUCAGUUGUGAAAGUUUGCGGCUCAGCCGUAAAAUUGCAGUUGAUACUGGAUGUCUUGAGUGCAGUUGAGGCAGGCGGAAUUCGUGGUGUAGCGGUGAAAUGCUUAGAUAUCACGAAGAACUCCGAUUG